rnacentral:rRNA from 2 species
GUAACACGUGAGCAACCUGCCCCUCACUCUGGGAUAAGCGCUGGAAACGGCGUCUAAUACUGGAUACGAGUCGCAACCGCAUGGUUAGUGACUGGAAAGAUUUUUUGGUGGGGGAUGGGCUCGCGGCCUAUCAGCUUGUUGGUGAGGUAAUGGCUCACCAAGGCGUCGACGGGUAGCCGGCCUGAGAGGGUGACCGGCCACACUGGGACUGAGACACGGCCCAGACUCCUACGGGAGGCAGCAGUGGGGAAUAUUGCACAAUGGGCGGAAGCCUGAUGCAGCAACGCCGCGUGAGGGAUGACGGCCUUCGGGUUGUAAACCUCUUUUAGCAGGGAAGAAGCGAAAGUGACGGUACCUGCAGAAAAAGCACCGGCUAACUACGUGCCAGCAGCCGCGGUAAUACGUAGGGUGCAAGCGUUAUCCGGAAUUAUUGGGCGUAAAGAGCUCGUAGGCGGUUUGUCGCGUCUGCUGUGAAAUCCCGAGGCUCAACCUCGGGCCUGCAGUGGGUACGGGCAGACUAGAGUGCGGUAGGGGAGAUUGGAAUUCCUGGUGUAGCGGUGGAAUGCGCAGAUAUCAGGAGGAACACCGAUGGCGAAGGCAGAUCUCUGGGCCGUAACUGACGCUGAGGAGCGAAAGGGUGGGGAGCAAACAGGCUUAGAUACCCUGGUAGUCCACCCCGUAAACGUUGGGAACUAGUUGUGGGGUCCUUUCCACGGAUUCCGUGACGCAGCUAACGCAUUAAGUUCCCCGCCUGGGGAGUACGGCCGCAAGGCUAAAACUCAAAGGAAUUGACGGGGACCCGCACAAGCGGCGGAGCAUGCGGAUUAAUUCGAUGCAACGCGAAGAACCUUACCAAGGCUUGACAUACACGAGAACGGGCCAGAAAUGGUCAACUCUUUGGACACUCGUGAACAGGUGGUGCAUGGUUGUCGUCAGCUCGUGUCGUGAGAUGUUGGGUUAAGUCCCGCAACGAGCGCAACCCUCGUUCUAUGUUGCCAGCACGUAAUGGUGGGAACUCAUGGGAUACUGCCGGGGUCAACUCGGAGGAAGGUGGGGAUGACGUCAAAUCAUCAUGCCCCUUAUGUCUUGGGCUUCACGCAUGCUACAAUGGCCGGUACAAAGGGCUGCAAUACCGUGAGGUGGAGCGAAUCCCAAAAAGCCGGUCCCAGUUCGGAUUGAGGUCUGCAACUCGACCUCAUGAAGUCGGAGUCGCUAGUAAUCGCAGAUCAGCAACGCUGCGGUGAAUACGUUCCCGGGUCUUGUACACACCGCCCGU